GAUAGUGAGGCCCUCCACAUCUAUAGCACUUAAAGUCUUCUAGCCGUGCUUUACCCUCAGUAGUAGCUUGAUUCAAUCUUGCCUUUGACUUGAAAGGUAUAUUAUCUUGAUUCAGAGAGUCAUUAGAUCUGAUCCUUUUCUUCAAACUUUUCUCUUUUGCAGCUUGUGCAUCAUUUAAUCCUUUCUCAAUUAUCAGAGCUUCAUUAAUGACUUCCUUAUAGGUGGGUAGCUCAAAUGCAGUUACCAAUUAUUUAAUCCGACCUCUAAAUCUAUUUUCAAAUUUUUUGAAUCGAACACCCCCCUCAGCUAUCAAUGUUGAAGCAUAUCUAGA
rnacentral:lncRNA from 1 species